rnacentral:rRNA from 2 species
AUGCGUAGAGAUGUGGAGGAACACCAGUGGCGAAGGCGGCUUUUUGGUCUGUAACUGACGCUGAGGCGCGAAAGGUGGGGAGCAAACAGGAUUAGUACCCUGGUAGUUCAGCCGUAAACGAUGAGUGGUAAGUGUUAGAGGGUUUCCGCCCUUUAGUGCUGCAGCUAACGCAUUAAGCACUCCGCCUGGGGAGUACGGUCGCAAGACUGAAACUCAAAGGAAUUGACGGGGGCCCGCACAAGCGGUGGAGCAUGUGGUUUAAUUUGAAGCAACGCGAAGAACCUUACCAGGUCUUGACAUCCUCUGACAACUCUAGAGAUAGAGCGUUCCCCUUCGGGGGACAGAGUGACAGGUGGUGCUGGUUGUCGUCAGCUCGUGUCGUGAGAUGUUGGGUUAAGUCCCGCAACGAGCGCAACCCUUGAUUUUAGUUGCCAGCAUUUAGUUGGGCACUCUAAGGUGACUGCCGGUGACAAACCGGAGGAAGGUGGGGAUGACGUCAAAUCAUCAUGCCCCUUAUGACCUGGGCUACACACGUGCUACAAUGGAUGGUACAAAGGGCUGCAAGACCGCGAGGUCAAGCCAAUCCCAUAAACCAUUCUCAGUUCGGAUUGUAGGCUGCAACUGCCUACAUGAAGCUGGAAUCGCUAGUAAUCGCGGAUCAGCAUGCCGCGGUGAAUACGUUCCGGGCCUUGUACACACCGCCCGUCACACCACGAGAGUUUGUAACACCCGAAGUCGGUGGAGUAACCGUAAGGAGCU